AGAAUCAACGCUGGCGGCGUGCCUAACACAUGCAAGUCGAACGAGAAAGUGGAGCAAUCUACAAGUACAGUGGCGUACGGGUGAGUAACACGUGACUAACCUACCCUCGAGUGUGGAAUAACUCCGGGAAACCGGGGCUAAUACCGCAUAAUAUCGCAAGAUCAAAGGAGCAAUCCGCUUGAGGAGGGGGUCGCGGCUGAUUAGCUAGUUGGCGGGGUAACGGCCCACCAAGGCGAAGAUCGGUAUCCGGCCUGAGAGGGCGCACGGACACACUGGAACUGAAACACGGUCCAGACUCCUACGGGAGGCAGCAGUGGGGAAUUUUGCGCAAUGGGGGAAACCCUGACGCAGCAACGCCGCGUGGAGGAUGAAGCCCCUUGGGGCGUAAACUCCUUUCGACCAAGACGAUGAUGACGGUACUGGUGGAAGAAGCACCGGCUAACUCUGUGCCAGCAGCCGCGGUAAUACAGAGGGUGCAAGCGUUGUUCGGAAUUAUUGGGCGUAAAGGGCGCGUAGGCGGCGCGGUAAGUCACCUGUGAAAUCCCCAGGCUUAACCUGGGGCCUGCAGGCGAAACUGCCGUGCUGGAGUAUGGGAGAGGUGCGUGGAAUUCCCGGUGUAGCGGUGAAAUGCGUAGAUAUCCGUAGGAACAUCCGAGGCGAAGGCGGCUCGCUGGAUCGCAACUGACGCUGAGGGACGAAAGCUAGGGGAGCAAACAGGAUUAGAUACCCUGGUAGUCCUAGCCCUAAACCAUCAGACUUUGGUGUGCCCUGUACGGGGCACGUCCCGUAGCUAACGCGUUAAGUCCUGCGCCCUGGGGAGUACGGUCGCAAGGCUGAA
rnacentral:rRNA from 1 species